rnacentral:misc_RNA from 1 species
AAUUUUCAUGCACAGUUCGGGUUUGCUAGACUCGGUUAAUUCACCUUUUCAUCUACCUUCUGUGCAAGUCAUGUGCAUUUGAUCUCAUUCUUUGUUAUCAAUUAAUUUAUUGUUUUUUGCACAUUGGUCGUUUUCAAUAGAAAUUGUAACUUCUAUCUUAUUUGUGAUGGUGUCAUGGUGCAUGUUGCAUUUAGUUCUCAGGGUUGCUUUAGCUUUCUUAUCUGUGAAAUGGCUGUUUAUUUGGAUUGAUGGCGGAUACAAUACAUAGGAGAUUGAAAUCAACAUGCGUUUGGAUAGUGAUAAUAAGCUUGAAAGUUCUGGCACAGUUGUAGGUACCGUCAUCUGUUAAGUUCAGUUGCUCUGCAACUUCUGGUUAUUACUUGG